AUCGAUAGACAAUAUUUGUGUAUUGGAAACGCGGCUUAACUUAAUGCAGAUUUUUCCGCUGAUUCGGUUGCAAAAGAUGCACUUUUGAGGCGCAGCGAGUGCACCCACGCCCCUGAGUUCGAGUGCAGUAGUAGACGGGAAAGUGCAGUUUGGAAAGUGCGCGGAGCGAGGCGAGCGACGAUUUUGGUUGAGCUGAAAAACGAAAAGUGACAAGGCGGGGGAAAAGGCGGAAAACACGGAUAAGCGGAAAACUGUAAACUGAACCAACCACCGUUUUUGAGCCAGCAUCUCUGCAGCGUUUCAAAUACGGGGAUAAUGGAGUCACAGAAGCGGCCCUCGUUGCAUUUACUCACGGAUGUGGCAGCAGCAUCGGCAGCCGGAGCUGGACCUUCGGGAUCUGGGUCUGGGGCAGCAGCUGAGAUGUCGCCCACUUCCGGUUUCCUGCCGGACAUGCCGCAGUGGAAAAAGGAUCUCAUCCAGCGCCGAAAAACGAACGUGGCCCGCACUCAGGCGGCGUCCAUCACCUCGCCCACCGAUGGCAGUUGUGGGGCUUUGGCUUCGGCGGAAGCCACAGCCGCUUCAGGUGCAAUUGCAGAAACCCCCAUGGAACCGGCUACAAUCAGUAGCACUAGUCAAAAGAGAAAUAUGAACUCUUCUGAGGAAAAGUCUGAGAAAUCUUCUAUUUCCAAUACCAAUUCCACUGGAGGUCAUCACUCUGUUGUUGCCGUCUCCCUUUCGCCCGAAGCGGCAACAACAACAACCGUAACACCCAUACCAAAGCAGCGAUCGAGUUUACGACUCAACACAAGAAGUCAAGAGAAAGAGACAGAGGUACUAAACGAGAGCGGCGAAACAGAGAAGGAGAGGGAGAGCGAACCCGAACCGCCGGCUGUGGUGGGUAGCCGGUGUGGUGAUGUUGAAACUGGCACAAUUGGAGCAGCGUCGUCGUCGUCAGCAAAUCAAAAUUCAAGCCCAAACCAACACCAUUUGAAAACGAAAUGCAAACCGGGACAGAGCGUUGCUGAGGGCGAGCCUUCAGCGAAAGAGACCACCAUCGAUAGCAAGAGCUGCAAGACCAAGACCAUUUCCGAUAAAUUGCAGAGCAACAAGUUCAUAAUUCAGCAACAACAGCAGCAGCAACAACAACUGUCGCCCACGAAGGUAACGGUAAAACCGACAAUGGUCGCCAUGCAAGAGAUGAAGAAAACAACCAAACAAAAUGGCCAGCACCGACAUCUAGCGGGAAAAAUUGGCAGCGGAUCGGUGGCCACCGGGGAUGUGGAUCCCCCGAAUCCCAUUCCAGAUUCAUUGGACACUGGCGAGGACCUGAGCUACGGGCCCGGAAUUGUGUCAAAGCUGCGCUGCCGCUAUCUGAGCCUUGCACUCCGCGAAUCCCACCAGCAAAGUAGCAAGCAACGUCUUCAGCGCUCCACCAGUUUAAACACUUUGCUGGAUCGUGAUGACGACGAGGUGGAAGUGGAGGAGCCGGAGGUGGCCAGUCAGGUGCGUGCCAAAUCUACACCUCCACCCAUACUGGGGGCCAAACCCACUUCGAAGUCCGGCCAGCAGCGUCCCGUCAGUCUGGGCUCCUCCAAUGGAAGAUCAGCUGUUAACCCGCCCUUGACAUCAGAUGGCGACCAACCAGGUGUCAUAGCCAAUGGAGGAGGAGCAGGAUCUGGAGUGGGCUCAGGUAACCGAUCGCGUCACUUUAAGCGCGGCAACGAGGUGAUGAAACGGGCCCGGUCCGUGGAGGCCCUGCUUUGCGAGAAGUCACCAUGGAACAGUCAAAGAAUCACCAUUGCCGCCGCCGCAGCACCAGCACCACCCGUUCUCAAGGCCACCCCUUCACCUGUCACCUCGCCCACCUGCGUCACCAUUGAGGACAAGAUCCACAAUGCCCGUGAGCGGCUGCACAGCGGCACGGACACGGCGCCACCCAAGCGCCUGACCUCCAUAAUCGAUGACACCGAACGGCCGCCACCGGAUCUGGUCAAACAGACACUCAAGAUGUUUGAGGCGAGUGCCAAUCGUCGUCCGCGCACCACCCAUCGUUCGAAUGGCGUGGGUGGAGUGGCUAGCAAGGUGGCCAGCUACAAGUCUAUCAUCAAGGAUCAGAAACCAGCAACGGCAACGCCGCCUGGCAUUGGUUUUGCGUCCUCCACGCCGCUAAGGACCCCACAUCAUGCCCAUCCGGACAUAAUACCGCGCCAGACCGAUUCGCCCGUGUCGGCGUUGAGUGUGAUGAUGCGACGCAUGGAGCUGCAGGAUCCAGAGGCGCUGGAAAGGGAGCGGGACACGGAGGCUACACCGCAGAGCGAGGCGCCAAGCGAGACUGAGCGAAACGAUCGCGAUGAAGGCGAUGGCGAAGGCGAAGGCGAUGACGACAGCCACAACAACAACGACGACGACGGCGACAGCAGCGACAACAAUGAGCAACGCGAUAAAAUGGGCGCGGUGGCGGCAAACGAUAAGCCUAAGCCCCCAACGGAAACGGCAGCGGGAGGCGCCCAGCGAUCAUUCGCUGACUCGACGGAGAACGCGCAUGUAGCCAGCGGGAGUAGCAGUACCAGUGUACGCAAGCUGAACAACAACGAAUCCAGCGGGCCAGCGGUGACCAAACAGAUUGGAGUAAUCCGUCCGCUAUUCAAUAGCCAGGGAGCUGGUAGCACACCGCUAACGAGCCGCGAGAUUGAAAAGAAUCGCAUCAAUGAGAUGAAGAAGUCGACAGCCACAGAAGCCGGCGGUGCGGGAUCCGGAUCCGGAAUGGGUACUGGUACGGGAUCGGGGUCCUCGCCCACCACUAGUCUCGACACCGUGAUAAACACCAAGGAAACGCCCAGCAGCGAAACGGAGGCCAGCGCCUCGCCCCUGUGGACACUGCGCAAGCUGAGGAACCAGAGCCAUGGUGCCGGAGGAGCAGGCGGGGGAUCGGGGCCCAGUUCCAGCCAUCAUUCCACAGAGAACACCUCGAUGGUGUUCAACUUCUCCAAGAGCACCAAGGAGGUGCCCGACUACAUCGAAAGCGACGUUGUGAUCUACAGGCGCAAGCGGGAGCUGCCAAAGCCAAAUGAGCCUGGCUUCGUGUUGCUGGGCGAUCUCUCAGUGGAGACGUCGACGGACACGGAUUGUGACGACUACUCCAUGUGCCCGCCAUCGCCGUGCGAUGUGGAGUUCGAAAAUGCCAACAUUGUGAUCGACGGCAAGUCCAGCAUUCGCCAGAAACCCAAAGAGUCCACGUUCCGCGUGCAGUUCAACGACACGCUGACGUCGACGUUUGAAUACCCCUCCGAGGCAUCGAUGGUCAUCGAGGAUCCGCCGUACGCCGAUCCGUUCGGCCAUCUGCUGGCGGAGCAGAUGCACCUGUUGCAGCACCAGCAGCAGUUGGAGCUGGAGCAGAUGCACCAGCUGGAGCUCCAGCAGCAGCACCACCAUGUGACGGUCGACGAGAUCAUCGAGCUGCCCACAUCGACGGCGGGACAUGGACUUGGACUUGGACACAGGGCGGGGGCAGCGGGGGGCGGCACGAUGCUGGGGAAUUUACCGUUGGAUUACCCAAGUUUAGGGAGGGGUAUUAUCUUGCCACAGUCGCCACAGCAGCCGCAGCAGCCAGAACCUGCAGUAGCAGCAUCAGCAGCGGCUAUCCCAAUCGCAGCAGAAGUGGAAACCGCUGUCAAAACCGAGCCACCCACAAUCGCCAAGCGGCCCCAGCUCCCGGCGAAGCCACAACCGCUACGUAGGGCCAGGCCAUCGGUGCUGCUGAAGCCGCAGUACGCCUGCUUCCUGCAGCAUGAUGCACCCAAAUCCUUGCCAGCUGCUGGCGCCAAACCGCGGAAGGCAGCCUCGUUUACAAUGGGCAAUCAACGCCAGUCGAAGGAGCAGCAUCAGCAUCAGAAUCAGCACCACCAUCAGCAUCAGCAGAGUAAAUAUGAAACAAGCGAAAGCAGCAGGAGUCGGGGUAGUGGCGAGAGUCCAGACCCAGAUCUCCAACAGCGACGUCGUCGGCCCAGUCUGCCGUCGUCGCUGGCUUUGUCCAAUGCCAGCUCGGCCCUGCUCCAGGCACGCAUUCCAGGCACCACGCUCUACUAUGUCUGAUGGCCACCAAAUAAGCACUAGUCUCCAAACACCAGAACACCAGAACUCCAGCUCCAACUCCAACUCCGAUCCGAACCGAUCCGAUUCGAAACCGCCAGCGAAACAUAUUAUUUAAAUGUAACAGAAUACAUAAGCAAAGCGUUGAAAUAAUAUCUAUUGUAUACCAAAACCAAAAAUAUCUAUGAUAACAAGCAAAGGCAAAUAAACCGAACCGAAAACUGAAUAACCGAUUAACUGCAGCCGCUGAACCCGAACCGCAAUAAUUAACUAUCAAACAAAAAAUUGAAAAAACUGAAAGACCAAAUAACCCGAUAACCGAAUAAAGUGCGAAAACAGAAAUGCCACACCUCUAACCCAGUGCACUUGCUCUGUCUGCUCCGCUGGGCAAUUAAAACUAAUCGCCAAUUCAUAUUACUAUUAAGGCUCCACGGCUUUGGGCUUCUACACGCCCGUGAAGGGCUCGCCGAUGGACAACCUCUUCCAGCUGGGAGUCACCCGCUAUGCUCUGCCCGAGAGCAGCAGCAGCGGGAGCAGCAA